rnacentral:pre_miRNA from 1 species
GAAGGUAUUGACGCGCCUCAAUUUGAACGRGUGGCUYAUAUUGGAGACUUAACCAUGCGAUUCUGAUUGAGCCGCGUCAAUAUCUCC